rnacentral:lncRNA from 1 species
AUGGUAUAGAAACACAGUAGGAAAAUGGAAUACAGAAACACAGAAGAAAAUGUGUCGUGGAAAGGAAACAUGUGAGCAUUGUAGACACAAAUACACACAAAGAAAAGGAAAAGAAAAGUCAGAUAAACAUUUUAAAUUUUUCAGAAAACCCUAAAUCAAAGAGAUGUUUUUUUGAAAGAAAAAUUGGGGAAAUCAUUCAAAACCCCACAUAGAGAAUAGAUACGCAACAGAUCUAAGAAUAAUCAAAGAAAACCUCGAAUAAUUAGGGUUUCAGAAGAACCCUAGAAUGAGAAAGGCUUGGAAAAGGUCCGAUCUGAGUCGUAAAAGUCAGAAACCAAGCUAAAGACACCAUUGUACGUCGUAGAAAGGACGGAGAUAGCCAUCGAACCUUGGAUUGGUGGUGAUCUGAAUGGACACUUCGAGGUCAGACCUCGAAUAUUCGAAUACCAUGUGUGUAAAAGCAAAAGGAGAUGAGUUUAAGCCAUACAUGGCCUGAGAGGCCAUGGAUUUUGGUGACUUGAGGUAGAAGCCGAUUAGAUUUGUGAGAACAUUCGAGAGGGUUUGAGAGAGGGGAGUGUAUAGAGGCGGCUG